rnacentral:rRNA from 1 species
UACAGAGGUCUCGAGCGUUAGGCGGAAUCACUGGGCUUAAAGCGUGUGUAGGUGGAUCGUUAAGUACCUUGUGAAAUCCCACGGCUUAACCGUGGAACUGCUUGGUAUACUGGCGGUCUUGAGCCAGCUAGGGGCUACCGGAACAAAUGGUGGAGCGGUGAAAUGCGUAGAUAUCAUUUGGAACGCCAAUGGUGAAAACAGGUAGCUGGGACUGUGCUGACACUGAGACACGAAAGCCAGGGGAGCAAACGGG